rnacentral:rRNA from 1 species
UACGUAGGGGGCUAGCGUUGUCCGGAAUCAUUGGGCGUAAAGCGCGUGUAGGCGGCUCGGUAAGUCCGCUGUGAAAGUCCAGGGCUCAACCCUGGAAUGCCAGUGGAAACUGUCGAGCUAGAGUCCGGAAGAGGCGAGUGGAAUUCCUGGUGUAGCGGUGAAAUGCGCAGAUAUCAGGGGGAACACCAAUGGCGAAGGCAGCUCGCUGGGACGGUACUGACGCUGAGACGCGAAAGCGUGGGGAGCGAACAGG